UUAUGCUUCUCAUGUUUGUUUUUAUUACAUUUAAAAACCCAAAAUUAAAUACAAUCUGUCCAUGAUAGUACUGAUGUUACUGUAUCAACAAAAACAUCAUCUACAUGUAUGACACUUAUAAAAUAUAAUUCUAGCGAAGACAGUAAAUGAUUUCCCGCCACCAAGGAAUAAAAAGAGACACUAUUAAAAUGAAGCUAUAGAAAAAACGAAAUCAGUUUUUUAUAGCUAAAAAAAUUGAUUCACAAUUUUAAGUAAUAUUUGUCAUCAUUACUUUCUCCCCCAAAAAAGAAAAAGUAAAGAAAAACAUUUAAUCACAAUACAAAAAAGAAAAAAAAGAAAGGAAUCACAAUAUUGAAAGUAAGUGAGAAAUAUUUCAUUGCUUCAUUUGUCUAUAAAUAAGUGUUAACAAAAAUGCAUUAUCUCAUAAACGUUUGACAAUUCUUUGAAUUUAGUCAAGUUUUGGCAAAUGUUAUUUCUGGCUUAUAAAUAUACAUGUAUGUCACUUAUGAUACCCCAAAAAAAAUUCAUAUAAACUAACUGUCACUUAAAAAAAAUCACAAAAUUAUCAAUUUUGAAAAAACUUGCAGCUUUUAAGUCCACAUUACCAAACACACACUAACACGUUUGUUUAUGGUGUAAAUUGAGGAUUUUCUUUUGUUCAUCUUCCCUUUUCCUUUGUGUGUCCUUUUUUUCGCAACAGCUCUCAUUGGUUUUGUAAACGUUUUCCAACCGAGGAGUCCUCAAUUCAGUUUCUGACCUUGUUUCACUGAUGAUGUUGCACGUGUGUGUCCUCGAUUUACACCAUAAACAAACGCACACUCACGUUGAAUGUUUUUCUAAGUUAACGCCACAAUUUUCCAAAUCUGAACAAAUUUGGACAAUUGGUAAACAUUAUUCUGCUCCUUACAUUGAUAGACAUUUUAAUACCGCAGCAAGCACUGUUUUUUGACGCGGGCUAUAAUUUAAAAUUGUCACACAUAUUAAUUCACAUACAUGUAUCAUAUGAGCAACAGCUGAACAGGCAUAUUUCUUUCUUUUUUUCUGAUCACACACUUAUUAUUUUUGUUAAUGUCAUAAAUGUUCGUAUGGUAAGCUAAUGAACCAUUUGCACACACUGUCUUUGUUUAUACAGUCGACUCUCGUUAGUACAAACUCUGUUAAUACAAAAUUCUGGUUAUAACAAACAUAGAGCCUUAGUCCCGACUGUGUAUUUAUGUGCACAAGGAAUGGGACUGAUGUUCCUCUUAAUACAAAAUUCUGAUAUAACAAACAAUUUGGCUAGGUUCGAACGAGUUUGUAUUAACGAGACUUGACUGUAUGCUUCCAGAGGCCCUGUGUAAGGCUGAAAACCACAUCAUUCAUUAUUCACACAAUGUUUGUCUAUGAUUAAAUGUAAAGUACAUGUGUAGUAUUAUUUUCUUUUCUUUUUUUGUGAAUUUUCUUCACUUCAAACAACACAAUUGCUCGACAUCUUGAGUAGGGCUAAAAACAAGUAACCCGUUGAAGUUUCGGCUCUGUGGAUGCUGUAAAUUUAUUUUUUUUUUAAAGAGAAAAUGUAACAAUUGUCAGGGGCUUGUAUUUGGAUUCCCUUGGUAUGCACAUAAACCACGUCCAAUGAUUGUUUUCUUCCGAAUAAAACCAUUUCGGGCGGAAAAUUUUUAAAGGGUAUUUGGUAAGCAGUUAGCAUGGUAUACAUGUACAGCAUGCUUAUACGUGCCAUUAUUUCGAGUAUAUCAUCCUUAACAAAAUGAAUUAUUUAAAUUGCUAUUUUUCUAGCAAAAUGUUGUUUACUUUUAAUGAGACACUGACUGAAAAAAAGACCAAUGUCUAGUGGAAUAUCAAUUACUGUAUAACUUAUUCAUGGCCCGUCAAUAAUUUAGCUCUCGCUGGGCAGACUGGUUCCCUCUCUCACUUUAAUAGAAUCAAUAAUGUGGGGACUGGGAACCAGUCUACUUGCAGGGAGGACUGAUCUGUCUGUGUGCUAUUGAAAAGCAACCUAAAAUAUUAAAGCUUUUAUUUUUUUCAAGAGGUCACACACAUCCUCCAUAGCUAGAAAGCUUUAAUUUUUAUUUGUUCAAUUGAAACACUCACAGGUCAGGGGAAAAAAAAGAAGAGCACGGACAUUACGUCUUGAAAGGCAGAAUUUGCUAAUUAAUUACGACACAACAGAAUGACCACAUGUUAAACUUUACAUAUCUGGACUGUAGAAUACAUAGGUUUAGCACAAAACUAUUUUGUGCUGCAGUUCAUUAAAAUUGGCACCUUGUACAUAAUUU
rnacentral:lncRNA from 1 species